rnacentral:rRNA from 1 species
UACGUAGGGGGCAAGCGUUGUCCGGAUUUAUUGGGCGUAAAGAGCGUGUAGGCGGCUAGGUAGGUCCGUUGUGAAAACUCGAGGCUCAACCUCGAGACGUCGAUGGAAACCAUCUGGCUAGAGUCCGGAAGAGGAGAGUGGAAUUCCUGGUGUAGCGGUGAAAUGCGCAGAUAUCAGGAAGAACACCCGUGGCGAAGGCGGCUCUCUGGUACGUGACUGACGCUGAGACGCGAAAGCGUGGGGGAGCGAACAGG